UACCCCCUGCGGUGUUCGGAAAGGCUCCUAAAUUCCUUUGUACCAAUGCGUUCGCUUUGGUUGCUAGCAGUAGGUUGCAGGUGUGUCGUGCCCCUUGCGGGUACGCCCGAAGCAACUGGCAGGCGGCCCCCUGGAAACAGGGUACAAGCGAAUUUUGCCGGACCGACACUCGCGGGGGACUC
rnacentral:other from 1 species